GCGACCAUGCGGCAGCCGUGACUGCUACCCAUACUAAGUACUAACCCCUACUCCCACCACCAUGGUCAACAAACACGCUGUCACAGGAUGUCCACGGAGGAUUAUAGUCUGAACACGACCGGCUUUUGAGAGUUUGUUGUGUGUGUGUGUGUGUGUUGGGUUGACGGUGGUUGGGGGCGGGUCUUAAGAUUUGGCGUUCACUACGAGAGAGAUCCAUUCUAGGUAUCAUUUUCGGUUUGACUGCCUCCAGAUAAAGAACUCGCGUAUUCCGUGUAAUUCGUUUCAUCGAGUACGUGCAAAACUCACCCGAUGAUAUUCCAGAAAACGAGUGGGUCUAUUUUCAUAUCACCGAACGGGCAGUACUCCGAAUCUUCCAAUACCAAAUCAUUGUGAAUAUUAGGAUUUUCAUUGACAUGCGCCCUUGGCUCGCUCGAUUGUUGAGGAUACCAGUGAUACCACGUUAGUCUUGUCGAAGUCCAACGUUACUCGCUAGAAAAGCGCUCAAUACUUCUCCGGUCAGAAGCGUUGAGAUUUGUCACUAAAGGUCCAUCAAAGAACGGAGAUUUUAUAAACACAGGAAUAAGCUUGCCGUCAGAAUACCAUUCAUAUUCAGAGAACAUGGACGACAUCGGAUACGAAUAUAUUGAAGACCUAGUGUUGCCCAAUAAUUUUGGAAACCGCAGAAACCGCAAAUCCAUAGACUUAUUCAUGACAUUAUGUAUGGCAAUUUUUUUAAUUAUAUGGACAUUUAUUUUUAUCCGUCGGAAUAUACAAGGUGUUAGGUGGAAUUAGAUAUUCAUAUCGCAUCCACAGGAAGAUUAUUAAUCAGACGCACUUAAGGCGCAGUGCAUUAUGAAAACCUACGACUAUAAAGACCAUACCAUCUAUAUUGCAUCAUGUCAUCGAUCAAAACAAAAUACAGACGGGACACGCGGUUGCUUCCAGCAGUGCCUCAACGGGAAGGACAGGACUGCUACAUCAAACUGCCACCCAAUAUGGUCACGAGUCCGAUUCUGCAAUUCACACUAUUCGGGUGCCCAUUUUCCAGUGGGCACAUGGAUGAGCUGGACUACCUACUUAUGGCUUGUUGCGGGCUAAAAUAUAGUGGCACCUACUUCUCUUUAACAAGCUUCUAUUUGACGAAACUGUACAUUACUUAGGAUAAUUUAAAUGUAUUUUUAUUUUUAUGUAUUUAUUAAUAUUAUGUAAUAUUAUUUAUGUGAAUUUU